rnacentral:rRNA from 1 species
AAUGUCUGGGAAACUGCCUGAUGGAGGGGGAGUAACUACUGGAAACGGUAGCUAAUACCGCAUAACGUCGCAAGACCAAAGAGGGGGACCUUCGGGCCUCUUGCCAUCGGAUGUGCCCAGAUGGGAUUAGCUAGUAGGUGGGGUAACGGCUCACCUAGGCGACGAUCCCUAGCUGGUCUGAGAGGAUGACCAGCCACACUGGAACUGAGACACGGUCCAGACUCCUACGGGAGGCAGCAUG